rnacentral:rRNA from 1 species
ACAACGGAUCUCUUGGUUCUGGCAUCGAUGAAGAACGCAGCGAAAUGCGAUAAGUAAUGUGAAUUGCAGAAUUCAGUGAAUCAUCGAAUCUUUGAACGCACAUUGCGCCCAUUAGUACUCUAGUGGGCAUGCCUGUUCGAGCGUCAUUACGACCCUUAAGCCUAGCUUAGUAUUGGGAACCUACGUGCGGCGGCUACCCUGUAGCUACCCUGUAGCUCCUUAAAGACAACGGCGGAGACGUGGAGUCCUCUGAGCUUAGUAACUUUUCUAGCUUCUGAGGGCGCCGCGGCCCCUGCCGUAAAACCCCCAACUCUUUAGUGGUUGACCUCGGAUCAGGUAGGAAUACCCGCUGAACUUAAGCAUAUCAAUAAGCGGAGGAAAAGAAACCAACAGGGAUUGCCUUAGUAACGGCGAGUGAAGCGGCAACAGCUCAAAUUUGAAAGCUGGCCUUCGGGUCCGCGUUGUAAUUUGUAGAGGAUGCUUUUGGUUAGGUGCCUUACGAGUUCCCUGGAACGGGACGCCUUAGAGGGUGAGAGCCCCGUACGUUUGGUUACCGAGCCUCUGUAAAGCUCCUUCGACGAGUCGAGUAGUUUGGGAAUGCUGCUCUAAAUGGGAGGUAAAUUUCUUCUAAAGCUAAAUACCGGCCAGAGACCGAUAGCGCACAAGUAGAGUGAUCGAAAGAUGAAAAGCACUUUGAAAAGAGGGUUAAAUAGCACGUGAAAUUGUUGAAAGGGAAGCGUUUAUGACCAGACUUUUUCCUGGCGGAUCAUCCGGUGUU